CCAGAUUGAUGUGCGUUCCAAGAGUGCUAAGGAUUACCUCCACACCAACCUGGCACCAUCGUUUGGGACAUUGAAUGCAGAAACAGUGAAGAAGAUGGAUGAGGUUCUCAAAGUUUGCAUCUCGGGAACCACAGACCUUCUAGCCAAAGUGGCACCGAAAGAGCGAACUUGGGAGAAGGUCAACUCCAUGUUCAUGCAAAAUCCCCUGGUUGAGCCAAUGGGCGAUGGGAUUAGCAGAGCUGACAAGUUUCUCAACAAAAGCUCUAGCGAUUUCAAGAUUGACGGGUCACCGGACCCAGCUAUUGUGAAAGCGGUAAUAGAGUCAUGUAUUGUGGAAGAGCUCUAUUAACCUUUGCGGCCUUCUCUCGGCACAGGUUCAGGUCUGGUUUGUGAAUCUCAUCGCAGAUGAGGACGUCCUGAAAUCAACCAAGAUCGACAUUAAAGUUGUUGGGGAAAUUGUUGCUCAGUCAGGGGCGACCAUUACCAGCUUUGAAAAUUUCUUUGCCAAGCAUGAGCACCACGAGAAGACCAUAAUUGACAUCGGGGUCUUAAGGUACCCUGAUAUGCAAAACCCGUACUUCAAGGUUUGUGCCCAGGCUGCCUUUUGUAUUUCAGUCACAGCUCAUGCUUACGAGUACAGGUGUACCGCAUCAAACUCUUUGCUUGGUCUGAUAGCAACCGUAUCGUGUUCCAUCAGGAGGAUUCCAAUGGCAUCAUUGGAGGUGAGGUGUCUAAUGUAAACCACUGAAGACUGCACGCUCCUUUUGUUCUAUUUGCAGAGUUCACCUUCCGUAAGUUUAAGCCGCGCAAGGAGACCAUUGACGAGAUGAACCCAGACGCCAAAAAGAAGGCUGUGGAAGCUGCAGAUAACAUCUUUGGUUUCUAAUAUCUAAAUUGAGCCAAAGAUGCCUCAAGCUAAAACAUCUUUCUAAAUACAUGACCUAUAACAGCUAUCUAUUGUCUUUAUAUUUUUUAAUCUCAAUUUCUGAAAAGAGACAAUCAGGGAAACAAAGACUUGACAAUAAAAGUAAUAAAUAUCUAAAACCCAGAUGCUUUGGAUUCCAAGUACUUUUGUCAAUGACUGGAACAUUGAAAGGUGAUGAUAAGUUUAUCUAUAUACUGUUUAUAGCCUUGUGGUAUUCUUACGUAUUCUUUGUGAUAUAUUAAUAAAACGAAACAGGACAGUAUGCCACAUGUGGAGAUCAUUAUCAUUGUCUUGUUGGUCUUUGUAGAUUCUUCGCACUCAAGGUUACCACAAGUUAGCCAGGGACACGCUCAAUCAGCUCUAAGCCGAGUUGAUGGCUUAGUCGUGGGGCUGUGAGUGCCAUUUGGCUCUCCAUCUUGCCGGAUUUUCCCAUCCUGUCGCUUUGAUGCAAACGACCUAGGAACACUGUCGCAAUAAUAUUGUAGAGGAACAAGGUCUCUAGACAAAGGGCUAUAAUAAAUGGAUUUUGACAAGGAACAGAACUUCGAGAAUAGAACUCGUAAAGAAUGCUACGGUCCGUUUUUAGUGUAAACGGCUUGGCAAACGAAUGCCUAUGCUAUUGGAACAAGGCAAAGGGAGGCCCUCAAAACCGUCAAGCUUUACCUCCUUCUGUAACUCACGAACUUUGUCGAGCACAUUAUAAGUUUUCUUUGGCAAAUGCUUACAUACUGAUCAGUAGGCGUGACAUCUCCUGCUAUAGGGUCUAGUUUUUAGGAUCCUAGAAAUCUACUCCGGGAGACGUUAAUACAGUUGUAAAUUUUUUAAAUUAGUUGUUCCGUGAAAUCUAAUAAGCUAAAUGUCCUAAACAGCAACGUCACUUUGGUCNNNNNNNNNNNNNNNNNNNNNNNNNNNNNNNNNNNNNNNNNNNNNNNNNNNNNNNNNNNNNNNNNNNNNNNNNNNNNNNNNNNNNNNNNNNNNNNNNNNNNNNNNNNNNNNNNNNNNNNNNNNNNNNNNNNNNNNNNNNNNNNNNNNNNNNNNNNNNNNNNNNNNNNNNNNNNNNNNNNNNNNNNNNNNNNNNNNNNNNNNNNNNNNNNNNNNNNNNNNNNNNNNNNNNNNNNNNNNNNNNNNNNNNNNNNNNNNNNNNNNNNNNNNNNNNNNNNNNNNNNNNNNNNNNNNNNNNNNNNNNNNNNNNNNNNNNNNNNNNNNNNNNNNNNNNNNNNNNNNNNNNNNNNNNNNNNNNNNNNNNNNNNAAAAUAGUGUGUUUUGGGCGGAUGCACCACCGUGGGACGCUUCUUGGUCUUAAGAAGCUAAUACAGGUGCUAUUGGGAAACGUUGAUGUUCUACAGCUCUCUACGUUUCACUGGAUGGAGCUGCUGGUGGCGCAUUUCCUACAUCUGAUACCUUUUUCUUUGGUAUGUAUGAACUGUGUAGUGUGCUAAGUUCACUUGCAAUUAUCGGGUGCAGGUCUUAGAUGGAAUGCGUAGCAUAGCUUCCAAGUGCAAAGGAUUGAAAAGUUCUGGGGACGAAGACCUUCAAGAACUUUUAUCUGCAAUUAUCAGCAACGACACCGAGGUAAAUGCUCUUCCCAGUACUAUACAGAUACUCUUUGCGAAGUGUACGAAGGUUUUCAAUGCCUGGUAAGAACUUCUCAUGUCGAAUAUUGAUAUAAAUUUUCUAUCAGGAUGAUGGCGCAUGUUGAUGAUCUCCUGAUAGCAAAAGGGGAGGACGUUCGAUCUCUUCUUGAAGAAGACAGGCAAACUCUAGGCGGCUUGAGCUUGAAAGAACUCCAUCGUUUGGUUUAUUCUCAAGUACUGUCUUCGCACAGCUUAACCUGGCAGGUAUAUCGUUGAUUUCUUUGUUCUUGAUGUUUGUCUAACAAUUAUCUCAGCUAGCACCUGUUUACCUCGCGGCUUGCCCAAAGCAAGGCCUGGGAAUGCUUGAAGCUCUCCUAAUGAAGCAGAGUUGUUCCAAUCAGAAACUGGCAUUGAAGGUUGGUCUUGGUGUGACGUUUUCUUGAAUCUUAAUGUGAAUUUUGUGCAACAGGCACUAGAGAUAUGCCGCCUCUAUGAACCUGAUACCGUGAGCACAGCCAUCGCCAGGGUUUAGUAUCCUCUUCUUGCUCCAAGAAUCGGUAUGGAGCUGUUCUCACAUCUCGUUUACACUCUAAACUUCGGAUCGAUCAGAUGGAGCUGCUGGAAUGGCCGGAGCAAGUGCUGGUUAGCGAGUCCGAAACAAACACUCUACUCUGCUGCCUCCAGGAACUCUUCCUCGCCAGGGACCGCCUAGAGAACGACAUCCUAGGCACCGCAGAGCCUGGCGCUGUGGAUCGCCUGAGAUUGGCGCUGGCAUCCAACUUGGGCCGUGCCAUCUUGCAAAGCUGAUCGUUUCUACGAAGGUAGGAAGGAUUUCUUCUUGAACUGUACAAUUCAGAAGCGUGAGUCUAAUUAAGCAAAUAGUUUGACCGUAAAACUUCGCUAAAAGUCAAUUUUUAGUCAACACAGUCUUCAGUUAUUGGAAGUGUUUCAUUGGCUGCCAUUACACACCCCUUUAAUCAGUUGGGUUUAGGGUAGGAUUGUAAUAUUAUUGUUUAAUUUUCGUGGGCAGAAAUAUUUUGAAAGAAUAUUUAACAUGGUGGAUCUAAAGGAAGAUAAUAAACCCUAAGAAAAAGACUAUGGUGACAGGAAGGUGACUUAAAGAUGAUUGCAAUUAUUUCUUGGCGAGGGGAAAAUUGUUAAGCACCAAGUUAGGAUAAUAGGAUAAAAAAAGGACUUUACAAUCAAAUAAUCACCCCUUUAACCAGUUAGGUUAAGGUGUAAAAAAUAGAAUCAUACUCCCAGGCUCCAUCAUGUGGUUCCUGAGCAGUGACACAAAACAAUCUUACUCUUGUUCUUGAUAGCUUGGCAUAAAUUCUCUCUGUCCAAAAAUCACUAGCUGAUUCUCAGCGUGCAACAAAUGUAGUUGCUCCACCACGAUUGCUGCUGCUUAGUCACCACCACUACCACUGCUACCAGCGCCACUGCUAAACUUUGGCGAGGGGUUUCUAACAUUCUCGAUGGCUUUCAUCAGGACGUUGCUAUUGGUAUGCUUGGGUGGUGGCAUCAAUAAAACAGAUGCAUGCAACACCUCCCUAUCCUGCCUUGGCAAUCUCAGACAAGUGCAAACAAGAUUUUGCUACUCUCCCCUAACAGUGUGAUUUCACCCUGUUGACGUUCACGGCCCAUUUCCUUCACCAUCAAUUCUCCAAAGGGUUUUUAAAGUUGUGAAAGUUGACUUAGUGGACCUGUGGUUUUCCACAAGCACUCUACCCAGAGCAAUGUACGGCAGUUUAUCAUGCCCUAAAAGCAUAUGCGUAAAGAAUAUGAUACCUGAUUUUCUUGAUAUUGGGACUACUGCAUGGCGUUUUCUGUUCGGUGUAAAUGCGUUUAACUCGUUUUCUGCACUAAACUAAUCUUUCAGAACGCUCAAUCCACCUAAUCACCUUUUGUUUUUUAACCUGCAGUUUUGGAGGUAUAUGUAUGACAAAGUCAUGCACGAUGAGUCAAGCUAUACUUCAUUUUGGGAUAAACAUGUUUUGUGCACUAAACUAACCCAUUUACCCCAUUAGUCUUCUUCUGGUGUACAUACCUCUUCUGAAGGUGAAUUGCAAUGGCAACCAUGGCGACAAUGCAGGGAGCCUUGGUGACAUUGAGGCGAAUUUUGAUUUCAGCAAGGUAAAGUGGAACCUGUCUUGCCCAAAGCAGUGCUUAACUCCUUGUGGAAUGCUCCAGAUUGAUGUGCGUUCCAAGAGUUCUGAGGAUUACCUCCACACCAACCUGGCACCAUCGUUUGGGACAUUGAAUGCAGAAACAGUGAAGAAGAUGGAUGAGGUUCUCAAAGUUUGCAUCUCGGGAACCACAGACCUUCUAGCCAAAGUGCCACCGAAAGAGCGAACUUGGGAGAAGGUCAACUCCACGUUCAUGCAAAAUCCCCUGGUUGAGCCAAUGGGCGAUGGAGUUAGCAGAGCUGACCAGUUUCUCAACAAAAGCUCUAGCGACUUCAAGAUUGACAGGUCACCGGACCCAGCUACUGUGAAAGCGGUAAAAGAGUCAUGUAUUAUGGAAGAGCUCUAUUAACCUUUGCGGCCUUCUCUCGUCACAGGUUCAGGUCUGGUUUGUGAAUCUCAUCGCAGAUGAGGACGUCCUGAAAUCAACCAAGAUCGACAUUAAAGUUGUUGGGGAAAUUGUUGCUUAGUCAGGGGUGACCAUUACCAGCUUUGAAAAUUUCUUUGCCAAGCAUGAGCACCACGAGAAGACCAUAAUUGACAUCGGGGUCUUAAGGUACCCUGAUAUGCAAAACCCGUACUUCAAGGUUUGUGCCCAGGCUGCCUUUUGUAUUUCAGUCACAGCUCAUGCUUAUGAGUACAGGUGUACCGCAUCAAACUCUUUGUUUGGUCUGAUAGCAACCGUAUUGUGUUCCAUCAGGAGGAUUCCAAUGGCAUCAUUGGAGGUGAGGUGUCUAAUGUAAACCACUGAAGACUGCACGCUCCUUUUGUUCUAUUUGCAGAGUUCACCUUCCGUAAGUUUAAGCCGCGCAAGGAGCUCAUUGACAAGAUGAACCCAGACGCCAAAAAGAAGGCUGUGGAAGACAUCUUUGGUUUCUAAUAUCUAAAUUGAGCCAAAGAUGCCUCAAGCUAAAACAUCUUUCUAAAUACAUGACCUACUUGAAAAUAACAGCUAUCUAUUGUCUUUAUAUUUUUUAAUCUCAAUUUCUGAAAAGAGACAAUCAGGGAAACAAAGACUUGAUAUACAAACUACAAUAAAAGUAAUAAAUAUCUAAAACCUAGAUGCUUUGGAUUCCAAGUACUUUUGUCAAUGUUGCAAACUUUUGCCUUUGAAACGUGAUGAUAAAUUUAUCUCUGUCUAUAUACUGUUUAUAGUCUUGUGGUGCCCAUCAAGAAGCAUAAAUAUUCUUUGUGAUAUAUUACUAAAACGAAACAGGACAGUUUGCCAUGUGAAGAUCAUUAUCAUUGUCUCGUUGGUCUUUGUAGAUUCUUCGUGCUCAAGGUUACCACAAGUUAGCCAGGGACACCCUCAAUCAGCCCUAAGCCGAGUUGAUGGCUUAGUCGUGAGUGCCAUUUGGCUCUCCAUCUUGCUGGAUUUUCCCAUCCUGUCGCUUUGAUGCAAACGACUCCAGGAACACUGUCGCAAUAAUAUUGUAGAAAUGGAUUUUGACAAGGAACAGAACUUCGAAAAUAGAACUUUAGAGAAUGCUACUUGGAACAAGGCAAAGGGAGGCCCACAAAACCGUCGAGCUUUUCCUCCCCCUCUAACUCACGAACUUUGUCACAAGCACAUUGUAAGUUUUCUUUUGCAAAUGCUUACGUACUGAUCAGUAGGCGUGACAUCUCCUGCUAUAGGGUCGAGUUUUUAGGAUCCUAGAAAUCUACUCCAGGACAAGACGAUCAAGACGUUAAUACAGUUGUAAUUUUUUUAAAUUAAUAAGCUAAAUGCGCGAAUCUUUCCAAAACAGCAACGUCACUUUGGUCUUUUCUUAGUUUCUUGUCCAGCUGAGAACAGAGGUUUGUCUAGCUCAAGCAUGAGUUUCUAAAUGAAUACGUCCUGCGUUCUGACAUGGUUGAAUUAUCCUUGCUCAUAUUUACGACCAGUAAACAUUACAUAAUCAACGGCUACUUUGAUUUUCUUCCUCUCGCAGCAAGGUGGUCCCUUCGUACUCGGUGCUCGCUCCCUCCUCGCCUGCCAAAUACCUCCCUGGUAUGGAAGUCCUGGUGUUGCCGUAGGUUUUAAGCCUGACUUUUCUAAGGUUUGAUGUGGUUGCAGCAAAGUUUUUAGUUUCUCAGAUUUUAUUACAUGCAGGCGAGGGAAAAAUGGCGAAGUCAGGUUUCCAAGCUUGAAAAUAGUGUGUUUUGGGCGGAAUGCAACCACCGUGGGACGCUUCUUGGUCUUAAGAAGCUAAUACAGGUGCUAUUGGGAAACGUUGAUGUUCUACAGCUCUCUACGUUUCACUGGAUGGAGCUGCUGGUGGCGCAUUUCCUACAUCUGAUACCUUUUUCUUUGGUAUGUAUGAACUGUGUAGUGUGCUAAGUUCACUUGCAAUUAUCGGGUGCAGGUCUUAGAUGGAAUGCGUAGCAUAGCUUCCAAGUGCAAAGGAUUGAAAAGUUCUGGGGACGAAGACCUUCAAGAACUUUUAUCUGCAAUUAUCAGCAACGACACCGAGGUAAAUGCUCUUCCCAGUACUAUACAGAUACUCUUUGCGAAGUGUACGAAGGUUUUCAAUGCCUGGUAAGAACUUCUCAUGUCGAAUAUUUAUAUAAAUUUUCUAUCAGGAUGAUGGCGCAUGUUGAUGAUCUCCUGAUAGCAAAAGGGGAGGACGUUCGAUCUCUUCUUGAAGAAGACAGGCAAACUCUAGGCGGCUUGAGCUUGAAAGAACUCCAUCGUUUGGUUUAUUCUCAAGUACUGUCUUCGCACAGCUUAACCUGGCAGGUAUAUCGUUGAUUUCUUUGUUCUUGAUGUUUGUCUAACAAUUAUCUCAGCUAGCACCUGUUUACCUCGCGGCUUGCCCAAAGCAAGGCCUGGGAAUGCUUGAAGCUCUCCUAAUGAAGCAGAGUUGUUCCAAUCAGAAACUGGCAUUGAAGGUUGGUCUUGGUGUGACGUUUUCUUGAAUCUUAAUGUGAAUUUUGUGCAACAGGCACUAGAGAUAUGCCGCCUCUAUGAACCUGAUACCGUGAGCACAGCCAUCGCCAGGGUUUAGUAUCCUCUUCCUUUCCAGGCUUGGGGUUCUCACCUGUGUUUUAUGUCUUCCAGGCUGUUGGUGUUCAUAGUUUAAAGCAUGGAAAGAAGGGCCAAGGGAUAAUGUGGCUUCAAUUGGCCCGAGACGAGCAGAGGCUUUCUACUCUUGCGGAUAGCUUUUGAACACAAUAACGUCUGGUGAAGCUGAUAGUCUGGAUAAUCUCGAGGUAGCAGUCUUACGUUUUAUUUGAUACACGCACACUUUUAACGCUCUUUUCCCGUGCCAGCAUUUUGAGGGUCUCUGUGACAUCCUUGGCUCGGGAGCAACGAAGCAUCAAGGCCUGUCGUUCCUAGCAAGGUACUCACUUCAUACAGUUGCAAAACUAUCCGGAGCUCACUUCCAACUUCACGCAGGUACAAAAGCUUUAAGGCAGCGCUGCAAAACAUCAGAGAUCUGCGUUGUAGGGAGGCUUCCUACACCCGAACGGAUUGGUAACCUGGAGAAGAGAAGUCACCGCUGCUCUGCCAAGUGCAGCGAGGUUUUCGUAAAACCCCGGCUUGCAGCUUCUAAAAUCUGGAACCUUUCCACGUAAAUUCUGGCUGUCCUUGCUCCAAGAAUCGGUAUGGAGCUGUUCUCACGUCUCGUUUACACUCUAAACUUCGGAUCGAUCAGAUGGAGCUGCUGGAAUGGCCGGAGCAAGUGCUGGUUAGCGAGUCCGAAACAAACACUCUACUCUGCUGCCUCCAGGAACUCUUCCUCGCCAGGGACCGCCUAGAGAACGACAUCCUAGGCACCGCAGAGCCUGGCGCUGUGGAUCGCCUGAGAUUGGCACUGGCAUCCAACUUGGGCCGUGCCAUCUUGCAAAGCUGAUCGUUUCUACGAAGGUAGGAAGGAUUUCUUCUUGAACUGUACAAUUCAGAAGCGUGAGUCUAAUUAAGCAAAUAGUUUGACCGUAAAACUUCGCUAAAAGUCAAUUUUUAGUCAACACAGUCUUCAGUUAUUGGAAGUGUUAGCUUUUCAUUGGUUUUCAAUGAAUAUAAUUGUUUAAUUUUCGUGGGCAGAAAUAUUCUGAAAGAAUAUUUAACAUGGUGGAUCUAAAGGAAGAUAAUAAACUCUAAGAAAAAGACUAUGGUGACAGGAAGGUGACUUAAAGAUGAUUGCAAUUAUUUCUUGGCGAGGGGAAAAUUGUUAAGCACCAAGUUAGGAUAAUAGGAUAAAAAAACAUUGUUACACACCAGAUCAAAAUAAUAGGAUAAAAAAGGGACUUUACAAUCAAAUAAUCACCCCUUUAACCAGUUAGGUUAAAGUGUAAAAAAUAGAAUCAUACUCCCAGGCUCCAUCAUGUGGUUCCUGAGCAGUGACACAAAACAAUCCUACUCUUGUUCUUGAUAGCUUGGCAUAAAUUCUCUCUGUCCAAAAAUCACUAGCUAAUUCUUAGCGUGCAACAAAUGUAGUUGCUCCACCACGAUCGCUGCUGCUUAUGCCGGUUGUCACCACCACUACCACUGCUACCAGCGCCACUGCUAAACUUUGGCAAGGGGUUUCUAACAUUCUCAAUGGCUUUCAUCAGGACGUUGCUAUUGGUAUGCUUGGGUGGUGGCAUCAAUAAAACAGAUGCAUGCAACACCUCUUUAUCCUGCCUUGGAAGUCAGGCUCCCAAUCUCAGACAAGUGCAAACAAGCUUUCGCUUUCGCAUGAGGUGUCUAAUGUAAACCACUGAAGACUGCACGCUCCUUUUGUUCUAUUUGCAGAGUUCACCUUCCGUAAGUUUAAGCCGCGCAAGUAGACCAUUGACGAGAUGAACCCAGACGCCAAAAAGAAGGCUGUGGAAGCUGCAGAUAACAUCUUUGGUUUCUAAUAUCUAAAUUGAGCCAAAGAUACCUCAAGCUAAAACAUCUUUCUAAAUACAUGACCUACUUGAAAAUAACAGCUAUCUAUUGUCUUUAUAUUUUUUAAUCUUAAUUUCUGAAAAGAGACAAUCAGGGAAACAAAGACUUGAUAUACAAACUACAAUAAAAGUAAUAAAUAUCUAAAACCUAGAUGCUUUGGAUUCCAAGUACUUUUGCCUUCCAGUGGAACAUUGAAACGUGAUGAUAAAUUUAUCUCUGUCUAUAUACUGUUUAUAGUCUUGUGGUGCCCAUCAAGAAGCAUAAGUAUUCUUUGUGAUAUAUUAAUAAAACGAAACAGGACAGUUUGCCAUGUGAAGAUCAUUAUCAUUGUCUCGUUGGUCUUUGUAGAUUCUUCGUGCUCAAGGUUACCACAAGUUAGCCAGCCUCAAUCAGCCCUAAGCCGAGUUGAUGGCUUAGUCGUGAGUGCCAUUUGGCUCUCCAUCUUGCUGGAUUUUCCCAUCCUGUCGCUUUGAUGCAAACGACCCCAGGAACACUGUCGCAAUAAUAUUGUAGAAAUGGAUUUUGACAAGGAACAGAACUUCGAAAAUAGAACUUUAGAGAAUGCUACUUGGAACAAGGCAAAGGGAGGCCCACCAAACCGUCGAGCUUUUCCUCCCCCUCUAACUCACGAACUUUGUCACCAGCACAUUGUAAGUUUUCUUUUGCAAAUGCUUACGUACUGAUCAGUAGGCGUGACAUCUCCUGUUAUAGGGUCGAGUUUUUAGGAUCCUAGAAAUCUACUCCAGGACAAGACGAUCAAGACGUUAAUACAGUUGUAAUUUUUUUAAAUUAAUAAGCUAAAUGCGCGAAUCUUUCCAAAACAGCAACGUCACUUUGGUCUUUUCUUAGUUUCUUGUCCAGCUGAGAACAGAGGUUUGUCUAGCUCAAGCAUGAGUUUCUAAAUGAAUACGUCCUGCGUUCUGACAUGGUUGAAUUAUCCUUGCUCAUACUUACGACCAGUAAACAUUACAUAAUCAACGGCUACUUUGAUUUUCUUUCUCUCGCAGCAAGGUGGUCCCUUCGUACUCGGUGCUCGCUCCCUCCUCGCCUGCCAAAUACCUCCCUGGUAUGGAAGUCCUGGUGUUGCCGUAGGUUUUAAGCCUGACUUUUCUAAGGUUUGAUGUGGUUGCAGCAAAGUUUUUAGUUUCUCAGAUUUUAUUACAUGCAGGCGAGGGAAAAAUGGCGAAGUCAGGUUUCCAAGCUUGAAAAUAGUGUGUUUUGGGCGGAAUGCAACCACCGUGGGACGCUUCUUGGUCUUAAGAAGCUAAUACAGGUGCUAUUGGGAAACGUUGAUAUUCUACAGCUCUCUACAAUUCACUGGAUGGAGCUGCUGGUGGCGCAUUUCCUACAUCUGAUACCUUUUUCUUUGGUAUGUAUGAACUGUGUAGUGUGCUAAGUUCACUUGCAAUUAUCGGGUGCAGGUCUUAAUGCGUAGCAUAGCUUCCAAGUGCAAAGGAUUGAAAAGUUCUGGGGAUGAAGACCUUCAAGAACUUUUAUCUGCAAUUAUCAGCAACGACACCGAGGUAAAUGCUCUUCCCAGUACUAUACAGAUACUCUUUGCAAAGUGUACGAAGGUUUUCAAUGCCUGGUAAGAACUUCUCAUGUCGAAUAUUUAUAUAAAUUUUCUAUCAGGAUGAUGGCGCAUGUUAAUGAUCUCCUGAUAGCAAAAGGGGAGGACGUUCGAUCUCUUCUUGAAGAAGACCUUGACAGAACUCCAUCGUUUGGUUUAUUCUCAAGUACUGUCUUCGCACAGCUUAACCUGGCAUUGAUUUCCUUCUUCUUGAUGUCUAAACCGGCUAGAGAACGACAUCCUAAGCACCGCAGAGCCUGGCGCUGUGGAUUGCCUGAGAUUGGCACUGGCAUCCAACUUGGGCCGUGCCAUCUUGCAAAGCUGAUCGUUUCUUCGUUGUCAAACAAAGGUAGGAUUUCUUCUUGAACUGUACAAUUCAGAAGCGUGAGUCUAAUUGAGCAAAUAGUUUGACCGUAGAACUUCGCUAAAAGUCAAUAUUUAGUCAACAUAGUCUUCUGUCACUGAGAAUGUUAGCUUUUCAUUCAUUUUCAUACUUGAACUCAGCAAUUAAUCUAUACACAUGUACGGCUACGUUGAUUUGUUAGUCACCCUCAGAACCAAGCACUACUACACCAGCGUCCUAGUCUUGGGCACCCGAAGCAUCUCACGCCUGCCUUGGAUGGAUACAAGCCGGGCUCCCAAUCUCGGACAAGCCCAAUCAAGCUUUUGCUACUCUUGCAAAAGGCCCCAGACCAGCGCAUGAAACGAGUGUGUGAUUUCACCCUGUUGACGUUCACGGCCCUUUUCAUUUCACCACUCUCCGAGACGAUGCUGUGAAACUUGACUUAGUGGACCUGUGGUUUUCCACAAGCGCUGGUUCCUUUGCGAUGCGAUGCGGUUCCAGCGACCGGCUGGGGCAAAGCCGUCUACGCAUUUGGCGAGGAGAGGAAGAAUCCCAACAAGUUAAGUGGCGUUGGGUCAAGCUAGACUACUGCACCGAAGGAGGCUUGGCGUUUUGGACCGAACGUGUUUGGUGUAGAUGCGUUUCCUGCACCGAACUAGUUUUCUGCGCUAAACUAAUCUUUCAGAACGCUCAUCCAAAUCACCUUUUGUUUUUUAACCGGGUAUACCUGCAAUUUUUGGAGGUAUAUGUAUGACAAAGUCAUGCAGCACGUGCUGCGAUGAUACUUCAUUUUGGGAUAAACAUGUUUUGUGCACUAAACUAACUCAUUUACCCCAUUAUAAAAAGUGAGUGUACAUACCUCUUCUGGUGCACAUACUUCUUCUGAAGGUGAAUUGCAAUGGCAACCAUGGCAACAAUGCAGGGAGCCUUCGGUUCAUUGAAGGAGAUUGGUGACAUUGUGGCGAAUUUUGAUUUCAGCAAGGUAAAGUUGAACCUGUCUUGCCCAAAGCAGUGCUUAACUCCUUGUGGAAUGCUCCAGAUUGAUGUGCGUUCCAAGACUGCUGAGGAUUACCUCCACACCAACCUGGCACCAUCGUUUGGGGGAUUGAAUGCAGAAACAGUGAAGAAGAUGGAUGAGGUUCUCAAAGUUUGCAUCUCGGGAACCACAGACCUUAUAGCCAAAGUGGCACCGAAAGAGCGAACUUGGGAGAAGGUCAACUCCAUGUUCAUGCAAAAUCCCCUGGUUGAGCCAAUGGGCGAUGGGAUUAGCAGAGCUGACAAGUUUCUCAACAAAAGCUCUAGCAAUUUCAGGAUUGACGGGUCACCGGACCCAGCUAUUGUGAAAGCGGUAAUAGAAUCAUGUAUUAUGGAAGAGCUCUAUUAACCUUUGCGGCCUUUUCUCGUCACAGGUUCAGGUCUGGUUUGUGAAUCUCGUCGCAGAUGAGGACGUCCUGAAAUCAACCAAGAUCGACAUUAAAGUUCUUGGGGAAAUUGUUGCUCAGUCAGGGGCGACCAUUACCAGCUUUGAAAAUUUCUUUGCCAAGCAUGAGCACCACGAGAAGACCAUAAUUGACAUCGGGGUCUUAAGGUACCCUGAUAUGCAAAACCCGUACUUCAAGGUUUGUGCCCAGGCUGCCCUUUGUAUUUCAGUCACCGCUCACGUUUUUGAGUACAGGUGUACCGCAUCAAACUCUUUGCUUGGUCUGAUAGCAACCGUAUUGUGUUCCAUCAGGAGGAUUCCAAUGGCAUCAUUGGAGGUGAGGUGUCUAAUGUAAACCACUGAAAGACUGCACGCUCCUUUUGUUCUAUUUGCAGAGUUCACCUUCCGUAAGUUUAAGCCGCGCAAGGAGGUCAUUGACAAGAUGAACCCAGACGCCAAAAGGAAGGCCGUGGAAGCUGCAGAUAACAUCUUUGGUUUCUAAUCCAAGAUGCCUCAAGCUAAAACAUCUUUCUAAAUACAUGACCUACUUGAACUAUCUAUUGUGUUUAUAAAAUAAUCACAAUCAGGGCAUAGACAAUAAAAGUAAUAAAUAUCUAAAACCUAGAUGCUUUGGAUUCCAAGAUGAUAAGUUUAUCUAUAUACUGUUUAUAGUCUUGUGGUAGUCUUAUGAUAUAUUAAUAAAACGAAACAGGACAGUAUGCCAUGUGUAUCAUUGUCUUGUUGGUCUUUGUAAAUUCUUCGCACUCAAGGUUACCACAAGUUAGCCAGGGACACCCUCAAUCAGCUCUAAGCCGAGUUGAUGGCUUGGUCGUGCGGCUGUGAGUGCCAUUUGGCUCUCCAUCUUGCCGUCGCUUUGAUGCAAACGACCACAGGAACACUGUCGCAAUAAUAUUGUAGAGCAACAAGGUCUCUCAGACAAGGGAAUAUCUAAAUGGAUUUUGACAAGGAACAGAACUUCGAGAAUAGGACUGUAGAGAAUGCUACUGGGCGUUUUUAUUGUAAACGGCUUGGCACAGCGCAGCCAGUGCUGAUGGAACAAGGCAAAGGGAGGCCCUCAAAACCGUCAAGCUUUACCUCCUUCUGUAACUCACGAACUUUGUCGCGAGCACAAUAUAAGUUUUCUUUGGCAAAUGCUUACAUACUGAUCAGUAGGCGUGACAUCUCCUGCUAUAGGGUCUAGUUUUUAGGAUCCUAGAAAUCUACUCCGGGAGACGUCAAUACACCAACUUACAAAGAAAAUUAAUAUUGCAGGUGCUUUUAUGCUGCCAAAAUUUGAGUUGUAAAUUUUUUAAAUUAGUUGUUCCGUGAAAUCUAAUAAGCUAAAUGUGCGAAUCUUUCCAAAACAGCAACUUCACUUUUUUCUUUUCUUUGUUUCUUGUCCAGCUGAGAACAUAUGAAUAGUCCUGCGUUCUGACAUGGUUGAAUUAUCCUUGCUCAUAUUUACAUUAAGCAAAUAGUUUGACCAUGACCUUCUUAAAAGUCAAUAUUAGUCACAUGGAUUACAUAAUCAAUACACUUGUAUACUUUGCUCUCGCUGCAAGGUGGUCCCUUCGUACUCGGUGCUCGCUCCCUCCUCACCUGCCAAAUACCUCCCAACCUCAAGGCUGCUGCCAAACUCGUUGCGGGAGAACGCAAUAACAGCUCUCCAUGCUAGGCAAGAGCGUUCACUUCCACUGGCCACGCCUUCUGAAGAUCAGCCAAGCCUCCCCACGACUCAUAUUGCAGUGGAGUAGAAGAUGGAGGAUGUUUCUGUCCUGCGUCGAUACAAGUCGGGUUCUCCACGCAUUAAGCUGGACCAUCUUCCCUGGGUUCUGGGUGUACAUCCUUCCGCCCUACGUCGAGGAAAGGAAAGACAAGCUUGAUCUUGUCUCCAGCCUUGUAAAUCUUGGUGGAGGGAACAUCUUCCGUACAAGCUCGCCCGCCUUGUUGCCCUGCUGACGGGGACGGCCAGCCAGCAGGCCCUCGUGAUUUCUUCUUGAUCAGAAUGAGCAUUGAUAUCUCUUCCAGGCACCGAGGAGAUCCUGAAAGCCUGCUCGCUGUAUAUCGUCUGGGCCCGACGACGACGUGAAAGCUUUUCUAUCCGACUUCGACGUCUCGACGUCGUGUCCCCCCUCCUUCCUCCAUGGAUGAGUUCUUCGAUGUCACGAAUGAGGCUGGGCGGUUUUCCACUUGCUUGGUUCCUUGGUGGCCGGGGAGGAGUACUUCGACGCGACGGCAAUGCAGUUCCAGCGAAUCUGGGACCUGCUGAGAGAUUGUGUGUCCCAAACGCUUAUCGACGAAGGAGUCAUCACGGAACUUCCAUGAUGGAAGUUCUUCAGCAAGUCGAAUCGGCCGCGCAAUAUCAUCAUGGGCCGGGGAAAAAGCGCAUUUGGCGAGGAGAGGAAGAAUCCCCACAAGUUUGAGAAGGUGAAGGCCGAGCUCGCUGCGAAGAUUAUGGAACUCCCUCCGGCAAUGUAUCGGAAGCUCAAGAUUAUGAUAUGCUACGCAGCUGCAGGCCAGUUCGUCCAGUUUUUCAUGCUGCAAGCAAGAAGCGUUGAUUCACUGAGAAAUCUCUGUUUUCUAACGUUCUUUUGGCGCAGGGAGUCCUCACGCCAGUGACUGACGUGCUGGAUGUGACUAAGCACAUACCGUUCAAGCUCUACUUCUUGUUGCUAUGGCCGCUGAAACCCCGUGAGUGAUGAACAAGCUCGCACCGAUUCCGUACUGACUAGAUCGUUGCAGGCCUCCGCUUGAUACGUUUGUUCUCCAUGGUCACUGGGAAAUCAAGCUCACGCUCGAGGGCGCUGUGAAGAGAAUCGUAGACUUCGAAGCGUAUUCUUGCAAACACGAGGUCUGUCUUGCCGGCCUCGAGGCCGCUUACAUCGCUGCCAUAGAAGGUGGCGGACAUAUGAUCAGUAGCGUGUUCGGGCCUACACUUGAGUCCAAGGAGGUACAACUCAUGCGCGAGGUGACUCUCACUGCCAUCCCGAAGCACAUGUAGGUUCUGAUAUCUCGGAAUCAUCAGAACGAUCUUCUUCAUCAGACAGUAGCAGCGGCAGUGGCGGCAGGAGGAGAAAGAGAGCGAGAUUUGCGACGGUCACCAAGAGCACGGAAGCGAUCAAGGAGAUGAAGGCGGUCUAUGAGGUGGAAACUCUACCACUCUGUGUGAUGAAAUAUCCCGACAAUGAGGAGGACAUGCGCGACAUGGCAUAUGGAGUUUUGCGAGGAUUGAAAGCUUUGCACAAAGCUGGUAAGCUUUCUUAAUUUUCUUUUCUUCUGUCUUUCGGUCUUAGUGUCUGUCUCAUCCUGGUUUGUAAACUUCCAGGCUUGGUGCACAAGAUCAUGUAUGACAAGAAGUACUUGCUGAUCGAUCUCAGCAAGAAUGAAGAAGUGCCAGCGUUUCAAUUUAAAGGCUGGAUCGCGACAAGGCUGGAGGCCGACUGGCGCUACGUGAUUUAAUCCGACUUCCAUCAACUCGGACUCGUGCUCCAGUCUACAGAAAUCGAACCAAAGACUUUGGUUCAUCGAUUUGCUCUUGAGCAGACCUCAGGUCAACCACUGCUAAAAGGCUUUUAGUGAACACACAUAGAAUAAGAAUAUGCCAUAGAAGAAGAAUUAGGGCGGACGUGGAUUAUGCUUCGCUUGGAUUUUUCUAUCCUUAGAAUAUGCUUUAAACUCAAACGAAUUUUAGGGCACGACAGAUGCCCCUAGUCUUCUUCUUCCUCGGAAAUGCGCGGGGACGAGGAGGAUGAGCGAUCCCGGGGCGUCGGGCUACGUCGUGCUGCUGCGGCGAUGCAUCGCGGGCAGGGAUCUGGAGGGCGGCCGGCGAUUGCACGGGCUGGCACACCGAUCUCUUCGUCGCCAAUCUCCUCAUCCAGAUGUAUGGCGCCUGCCGCUCCAUCGCCAGCGCAUGGUCGUCUUCCGCGAGCUCCGCGUCCGCAACCUCUUCACCAUCAACAUCACCAUCGCCGCGCUUGCCCAGAACAGCUGCUUCCGCGACGCGCGAUCCCUGUUCGUGGAAUCCCCCCGCCGCGACGUCGUUACCUGGAACUCGAUGCUCACCAUCGCCGCGCACCGCCUCCGGAUCGGCGAGGCGCGGGAGGUCUUCGCGCGGAUGCCUGCCCGGAGCGUCGUCUCUGCGAACGCGAUGAUCGCAGCAUUUGCCCAAUGCGGGCAAAUUCGCGAAGCCCAGGAGUUCUUCCGCGACGCCAUAGCCGAGAGGGACGUCUCGAGCUGGAACAAUCUCCUCCACGCCAGCGUCUCCUCCAGCGAGGUCGAUCUCGCGCGAUCGGUCUUCGAUGCUAUGCCGCACUGGGAUUGUGUCGCGUGGUUGAGCAUGAUCCAGGGCUACGCCGAACGCUGAUGUGCAACGCCGAGGAGCUCUUCCUCGCGCUGGAUCAUCCGGAUCUCAUGUCCAUCACGUCCAUGAUCGCGGGCUAUGAAGAUCGACCAGGCGAGGGAGCUCUUCUCGCGGAUGAAGCACUGCAACACCGUUGCCUGGAACGUGAUGAUCCCGGCGCUGAGGAGGCGCGGCAGGCAUUCGAUUCGAUGACGGCGCCGAGGAAUCUCUCGUCCUGGAACACGGUCAUCUCGGCCUACGCACAGGCGGGACUGGUGGAUCGCGCGAGGGAGCUCUUCGAUCAAACCCUGGACAAGAACGCGGUGACCUGGACGGCGGUGAUGCACGCGGCAGCUCCGCGAGGCGCGAUCGAUCCUCGACGCCAUGCCGGAGCCAAACAUCGUGUCGUGGACGACGAUGAUCACGGCCUUACGCGCAGCACGGCGCCGGCGCCGACGCGAUCCAGCUCUUCCGGAUCAUGGAUCUUGAGACGAUCGUGAGCGUGCUUUUCGCGGCCACGGCGAUCCAAGAUCCAUCGCUAGCGCACCACAUCCUGCCCGAUAUCCGCCACAGCGCCUCUACCGCGAGGGCGCGGUGGGGAAUUCUCUCGUCCAUCUCUUCAGCCGAUCGGGACGGCUGGACGACGCGCGCGAGAUCUUCCAGGGGAUGAUCGACAGAGCACGGUUUCUUGGAAUAUCGCCAUCACGGCCACGGCCAAGGCCGCUCCAGCUGCUGGAAUCCAUGGUGCUCGACGGUUGCGCGCCCGACGCGAUCACAUUCUCGUGUCACAUUGGAUCGCUGGAUCACCUUGUUGAACAUAGAGGAUUGAAAAUAAACGUUUAAAAGAAACGUGCCUUGGUACCUAUAGUUUCAUGAUAAAAACCAUCACAUUCUAGAAAAUGCAUUUUACGAAAACAUGCUUACUUCAUGGGAUGAAUGGAAAGCAACAGAAGCCUCAUUCCCAGAUGCAUUUCUCCAGAUAUAACAGACAUGACGAGGUAGUAGCAAAAGAUUGCAAAUGUGGUGGUUCCUAGCAAGCCUGAAAGGAAGGAAACUAUUCAGGUCUAGAGAUCGCAUCGACAGAAAGUACCCCAGGCACUGUCAAGCUGAAUAAAGACUUGGUUCAGAAACGGAAAAGCUGGAGGAUUGACAAGCAUGAAAACAAUGAUGUGGAGAAGCCAAAUUAUAGACAAAGCCAAACUGCAACAAGAGAAAUAAUAAGACUGAAUCUUUUUCUUAAGACUUAAAAGACUUUCUUACCUGACAAUGCCAAAAACAAGCUUGGCUAGCUAGAAGAGAACCGUAAGAGCCCAGGAUGUGUCUGCCUGAGAGUAAACCAACAUUAGAAUCAACACAAAAACUUAAAUGGUAAACUAGAACGGUAGCUUCUCUCCCUGUGGGAAUGCCUCGUUCAGAGCUUGAACAUCAUCUUCCAAAAAGACAAGCUCCUGAAUCGAGCUACACAUAUGCGUUUGUCAACACGAUCACGUCCACCAUUUACUUUUGUUUCUGUGCGCAGGGGUGCUGACCUGCUGGACUUUCUUCACAUUUUUUCGAAACUUCCGUCCUUUCUUCCCACCUCUCUCUUCGCGUUGGAGGCCCAAAGUCGCCGUUUUUAGCUCGUUAGAGCGCUUGGCUAGAUCAGUCGCCUCCUGUAAAGCCAUCACCUUGAAGAUAUUAGUUGCAAGAAACGAGAACAAAUCACACACACACACACCUUUACGUAUUGAGCACGAGUAGUAACACACUUGGGCCUAUUCUUGAACGCAAAUAUGAGGCUCAGUGGUAAUGUUGCCAUUCCAACACCUCCGAACAUCUGCAGGAAGGAAAUCAGAUCUUCUAGAAAACAACACAUAAAACGACAUUACCGUGAAGAGUAUUGAUCUUAUUAUUGUGCUUAAUGCGAUCAUGUAAGUCGGGAAGGGCGCACGCCCAGACCACGUAGUUUUAACCAGAGAUCCAGACGUAUAAGCUGCACACUGUCACACAAUAUUGUCAGAUCAAUGAAGAAAGGGAAAAUGUAAAAGAAAAAGUUUACCAAAUCAUUGGUGAAUGCCAGCGUCGUGGAUGAAAGAUGUCUCACGGUGAAAUCAGCAUAGCCGAUCACAGCUUCAAGCAAUCACGUAAAAAAAGGGUUUAAGAACAAAAGAUGGAAAAGAGCUUCUCACCAUAGAGAAAUCCCAAGAGGAGGCAGAGGACUGUGAGGAGUAUCACCACCCGUUCUUUACCCUUUGUGUCACAGUCCUGGAAAUCACCACGAACAAAGAAAGCUUUUGAGAUCAUGGAGGAAUAGAAAGAACUUAAGAAACUCUAGGAGGAGCUCGGUCGAUUGAGUGUUCUAAGAACAAGAAGAAAAAGAUGGAAGAUUACUUCUCCUGGUCGCUCUCGUAGAAGAAGAUCGCGAAAGGAGUGACGAGAUAGACGAGCACAGUGUCGAUGAUGUAAACCGCCCACCAUAGCUGCUUCAUCGGGAGAGUGAGCUUACACGCCCCGACGUAGAGAUUCUUCUCGCAGGAAUGGCGAUUCGCGACGUCCGCCGGGAGCAUCAGGAUCGAGAGUUGGGCAAUGCUGAGCCCAAUCACGACGAUGAUCUUGGGAAGGUAGGCCUGAUUCUGGAGCGCGUGAUGCCGGGGAUCCGGCGCCUCGAGGAGCUGGAGAACGGGGAGCGUAAUGCCGGUGGCGAUGGAUCCUCCAGCUCCUCGGCCGCGGUAAUCUAUAGCGUGCCGGGCGGAUUGAGGGAUCCAGGGCGAUUGUGGGUGUCGUGGAGCAAUGGGAACCAGCUCCAGCUCUCCUACAUCGAGAAUGCUGUGGGAGGCGGCGGAAGAGUCACGGAGAUUCAUCUGGGAGAAGGAUGGGAUGCCGAGAGGCGGCAUGAUUCUCUCCCGGCUUUUGCUCUUCUCCAGAACCAGCGGCAAUUGGGCUACAACCCAGGCGACUGGUAUGAAAAAUUCUUCUCUUUUUACUCUAGAAACGCUAGGUGUGAUCGCAGGUGGGAGCAUGUAUUAGAGUAUAGCAAGAGCAUUCACAGCGUUCUCGACCAGCCCACGCAAGGCAAGGUUAGCCAUUGUAUCAUGCGUGAGCGAAUGAUGUGAAAGAUUUUUUUUGUUUUUUUCUUGCAGGGGGAGAAGACCUCGAUGUUUAAGGCUGUGUGGGAGCUCAUAGAAGUUUUCUAUGUGGACAGAAGCGCGACAUGGUGGCUUCCGGAGUGUCUUGUAGACUGGCUAGCGGUAAGAAGCAGUGAGUUUUUUCUUGACUUAUGAUUGAUUUGCCUGUGAGCUUUGCAGGAGUACGACGAAGUCCUCUUCAGUGAUGAAGACACUGUACAUUCCAAGGUGGUGUCGUUCCAGCGGAAGCUUUCCGAGAUUCAAGUAAGUUCGAAGUCUUGCAGCUUUUUGUUUUCUCUUUGUGUAUCAUUUUUUAACUUGCACUUGCAGUUUCCCGAAGAUGAUGUAGCUUUCUGGGAUGCAAUGGCUUCGGCGUUGUCAGUCGGAUGGCUUGACGUUGUUGGAAGUUGUAAAACUGUCCGUGUAAGUUUCAUUGGUAAUCUUAAUCUUCCAGAUAGCUUUCUUGCGGAUGCAUGGAUCGUAUCGAUUGGAUCAGCUUGAUCACCGGCAGGUUUCUUUCUUCAUGCUGUUCUGUUGACUUGCGUUAACUUCCGGAUGCUUUUUUAUGUCUUGGCAGACUGAAAAUGGCCUCUUAGAAGCAGUUACACUGCUCAUUAUGCAAAUGCCGCGGCUGCGCCCGAGGCUCCCUGAUGGAAGUCCUGGUGUUGCUAUAGGUUUUAAGCCUGACUUUUCUAAGGUUUGAUGUGGUUGCAGCAAGUUUCUCAGAUUUGAUUACAUGCAGGCGAGGGAAAAAUUGGCGAAGUCAGGUUUCCAAGCUUGAAAAUAGUGUGUUUUGGGCGGAAUGCAACCACCGUGGGACGCUUCUUGGUCUUAAGAAGCUAAUACAGGUGCUAUUGGGAAACGUUGAUGUUCUACAGCUCUCUACGUUUCACUGGAUGGAGCUGCUGGUGGCGCAUUUCCUACAUCUGAUACCUUUUUCUUUGGUAUGUAUGAACUGUGUAGUGUGCUAAGUUCACUUGCAAUUAUCGGGUGCAGGUCUUAGAUGGAAUGCGUAGCAUAGCUUCCAAGUGCAAAGGAUUGAAAAGUUCUGGGGACGAAGACCUUGAAGAACUUUUAUCUGCAAUUAUCAGCAACGACACCGAGGUAAAUGCUCUUCCCCGUCACAGUGGUAAGAACUUCUCAUGUCGAAUAUUUAUAUAAAUUUUCUAUCAGGAUGAUGGCGCAUGUUGAUGAUCUCUUGAUAGCAAAAGGGGAGGACGUUCGAUCUCUUCUUGAAGAAGACCUUGACAGAACUCCAUCGUUUGGUUUAUUCUCAAGUACUGUCUUCGCACAGCUUAACCUGGCAGGUAUGUCUUUGAUUUCUUUCUUCUUGAUGGGCAUCCAGCCAUCUUGCAAAGCUGAUCGUUUCUUCGUUGUCAAACAAAGGUAGGAUUUCUUCUUGAACUGUACAAUUCAGAAGCGUGAGUCUAAUAGUUUGACCGUAGAAUUUCGCUAAAAGUCAAUAUUUAGUCAACAUAGUCUUCUGUCAUUGAAAAUGUUAGCUUUUCAUUGAUUUUCAUACUUGAACUCAGCAAUUAAUCUAUACACAUGUACGGCUACGUUGAUUUGUUAGGCACCCUCAGAACCAAGCACUGCUACACCAGCGUCGUCCCUUCGUACUCUGCAGAUGCCCGCAACGCCUCCCUAGUCUCAGGCACCCGAAGCAUCUCACGCCUGCCUUGGAUGGAUAUAAGUCGGGCUCCCAAUCUCAGACAAGCCCAAUCAAGCUUUUGCUACUCUUGCAAAAGGCCCCAGACCAGCGCAUGAAACGAGUGUGUGAUUUCAUCACGGCCCAUUUCAUUUCACCACUCUCCGAGACGAUGCUGUGAAACUUGACUUAGUGGACCUGUGAUUUUCCACAAGCGCUGGUUCCUUUGCGACGCGAUGUGGUUCCAGCGACCGGCUGGGGCAAAGCCGUCUACGCAUUUGGCGAGGAGAGGAAGAAUCCCAACAAGUUAAAUGCUGUAGGUUAUCAUGCCCUAAAAGCAUAUGCAUAAAGAAUAUGAAACGAUACCUGAUUUCUGGCGUUGGGUUAAGCUCCGAAGGAGGCUUGGCGUUUUGCACCAAACGCGUUUGGUGUAGAUGCGUUUCCUGCACCGAACUAGUUUUCUGCACUAAACUAAUCUUUCAGAACGCUCAUCCAAAUCACCUUUUGUUUUUUAACCGGGUAUACCUGCAUUUUUUUGGAGGUAUAUGUAUGACAAAGUCAUGCAGCACUGAGUCACUUCAUUUUGGGAUAAACAUGUUUUGUACACUAAACUAACUCAUUUACCCCAUUAUAAAAAGUGAGUGUACAUACCUCUUCUGGUGUACAUACUUCUUCUGAAGGUGAAUUGCAAUGGCAACCAUGGCGACAAUGCUGGGAGCCUUCGGUUCAUUGAAGGAGAUUGGUGACAUUGUGGCGAAUUUUGAUUUCAGCAAGGUAAAGUUGAACCUGUCUUGCCCAAAGCAGUGCUUAACUCCUUGUGGAAUGCUCCAGAUUGAUGUGCGUUCCAAGACUGCUGAGGAUUACCUCCACACCAACCUGACACCAUCGUUUGGGGGAUUGAAUGCAGAAACAGUGAAGAAGAUGGAUGAGGUUCUCAAAGUUUGCAUCGCGGGAACCACAGACCUUCUAGCCAAAGUGCCACCGAAAGAGCGAACUUGGGAGAAGGUCAACUCCAUGUUCAUGCAAAAUCCCCUGGUUGAGCCAAUGGGCGAUGGGAUUAGCAGAGCUGACAAGUUUCUCAACAAAAGCUCUAACGAUUUCAAGUUUGACAGGUCACCGGAUGCAGUUAUUGUGAGAGCGGUAAUAGAAGUUAUGUAUUAUAGAAGAGCUCUAUUAACCGUUGCGGCCUUCUCUCAUCACAGGUUCAGACCUGGUUUGUGAAUCUCAUUGCAGAUGAGGACGUCCUGAAAUCAACCAAGAUCGACAUUGAAGUUCUUGGGCGCAUUGUUGCUCAGUCAGGGGCGGCCAUUAACAGCUUUAAAACUUUCUUUGCCAACGAUGAGCACCACGAGAAGACCAUAAUUGACAUCAGGGUCUUAAUGUACCCUGAUAUCCAAAACCCGUACUUCAAGGUUUGUAUUUCUUCAGCCGUUCCCAGCCCUUCGUAUUUCAGUCACAGCUCAUGUUUUUGAGUACAGGUGUACCGCAUCAAACUCUUUGCUUGGUCUGAUAGCUACCGUAUUCUGUACCAUCAGGAGGAUUCCAAUGGCAUCACUGGAGGUGAGGUGUCUAAUGUGAACCACUGAAAACUGCACGCUCCUUUUGUUCUAUUUGCAGAGUUCACCUUCCGUAAGUUUAAGCCGCGCAAGGAGGUCAUUGAGAACAUGAACCCAGAUGCCAAAAAGAAGGCUGUGGAAGCUGCAGAUAACAUCUUUCGUUUCUAAUAUCCAGGCUGUGUCAAUCGAGCCAAGAUGCCCUUUGCUUCAAGCUAAAACAUCUUCCUAGAUAAUAAUGAUCUAUUGUGUUUACAUGUUUUAAUCUCAAUUUCUGAAAAGAGACAAUCAGCCUGGAACGACAAACUACAAUAAAGUAAUAAAUAUCUAAAAGCUAGAUGCUUUGGAUUCCAAGUACUUUUGUCAAUGUAGCAAUGUUUUGCCUUCCACUGGAACAUUGAAAGGUGAUGAUAAGUUUAUCUAUCUAUCUAUAUACUGUUUAUAGUCUUGUGGUGCCCAUCAAGUAUUCUUUGUGAUAUAUUAAUAAAACGAAACAGGACAGUUUGCCAUGUGUAGAUCAUUGUCUCGUUGGUCUCUGUAGGUUCUUCGCGCUCAAGGUUACCACAAGUUAGCCAGGGACACGCUCAAUCAGCUCUAAGCCUCUGGUGCUGGAUUUUCCGAUCCUGUCGCUUUGAUGCAAACGACCCCGGGAACACUGUCGCAAUAAUAUUGUAGAGCAACAAGGUCUCUCAGACAAGGGAAUAUCUAAAUGGAUUUUGACAAGGAACAGAACUUCGAAAAUAGAACUUUAGAGAAUGCUACUUGGAACAAGGCAAAGGGAGGCCCUCAAAACCGUCGAGCUUUUCCUCCUCUAACUCACGAACUUUGUCACGAGCACAUUGUAAGUUUUCUUUUGCAAAUGCUUACGUACUGAUCAGUAGGCGUGAUAUCUCCUGCUAUAGGGUCGAGUUUUUAGGAUCCUAGAAAUCUACUCCGGGACAAGACGAUCAAGACGUUAAUACAAUUGUAAUGUUUUUAAAUUAAUAAGCUAAAUGCGCGAAUCUUUCCAAAACAGCAACGUCACUUUGGUCUUUUCUUAGUUUCUUGUCCAGCUGAGAACAGAGGUUUGUCUAGCUCAAGCAUGAGUUUCUAAAUGAAUACGUCCUGCGUUCUGACAUGGUUGAAUUAUCCUUGCUCAUAUUUACGACCAGUCUAAAGCUUAAACAUUACAUAAUCAACGGCUACUUUGAUUUUCUUCCUCUCGCAUACUCGGUGCUCGCUCCCUCCUCGCCUGCCAAAUACCUCCCUGAUAUGGAAGUCCUGGUGUUGCUAUAGGUUUUAAGCCUGACUUUUCUAAGGUUUGAUGUGGUUGCAGCAAAGUUUUUAGUUUCUCAGAUUUUAUUACAUGCAGGCGAGGGAAAAAUGGCGAAGUCAGGUUUCCAAACUUGAAAAUAGUGUGUUUUGGGCGGAAUGCAACCACUGUGGGACGCUUCUUGGUCUUAAGAAGCUAAUACAGGUGCUAUUGGGAAACGUUGAUGUUCUACAGCUCUCUACGAUUCACUGGAUGGAGCUGCUGGUGGCGCAUUUCCUACAUCUGAUACCUUUUUCUUUGGCAUGUAUGAACUGUGUAGUGUGCUAAGUUCACUUGCAAUUAUCGGGUGCAGGUCUUAGAUGGAAUGCGUAGCAUAGCUUCCAAGUGCAAAGGAUUGAAAAGUUCUGGGGACGAAGACCUUCAAGAACUUUUAUCUGCAAUUAUCAGCAACGACACCGAGGUAAAUGCUCUUCCCCGUCACAGUGGUAAGAACUUCUCAUGUCGAAUAUUUAUAUAAAUUUUCUAUCAGGAUGAUGGCGCAUGUUGAUGAUCUCCUGAUAGCAAGAGGGGAGGACGUUCGAUCUCUUCUUGAAGAAGACCUUGACAGAACUCCAUCGUUUUGUUUAUUCUCAAAUACUGUCUUUGCACAGCUUAACCUGGCAGGUAUGUCUUUGAUUUCUUUCUUCUUGAUGUCUAAACUGGCUAGAGAACGACAUCCUAAGCACCGCAGAGCCUGGCGCUGUGGAUCGCCUGAGAUUGGCACUGGCAUCCAACUUGGGCCGUGCCAUCUUGCAAAGCUGAUCGUUUCUUCGUUGUCAAACAAAGGUAGGAUUUCUUCUUGAACUGUACAAUUAAGCAAAUAGUUUGACCGUAGAACUUCGCUAAAAGUCAAUAUUUAGUCAACAUAGUCUUCUGUCAUUGAAAAUGUUAGCUUUUCAUUGUUUUUCAUACUUGCACUCAGCAAUUAAUCUAUACACAUGUACGGCUAUGUUGAUUUGUUAGUCACCCUCAGAACCAAGCACUACACCAGCAUCGUCCCUUCGUACUCUCCCUAGUCUUAGGCACCCGAAGCAUCUCACGCCUGCCUUGGAUGGAUACAAGUCAGGCUCCCAAUCUCGGACAAGCCCAAUCAAGCUUUUGCUACUCUUGCAAAAGGUGCAUGAAACGAGUGUCUGAUUUCACCCUGUUGACGUUCACGGCCCAUUUCAUUUCACCACUCUCUGAGACGAUGCUGUGAAACUUGACUUAGUGGACCUGUGGUUUUCCACAAGCGCUGGUUCCUUUCCAGCGACCGGCUGGGGCAAAGCCGUCUACGCAUUUGGCGAGGAGAGGAAGAAUCCCAACAAGUUAAGUGCUGCAGUUUAUCAUGCCCUAAAAGCAUAAUAUGAUUUUUGGCGUUGGGUCAAGCUAGACUACUGCACCGAAGGAGGCUUGGCGUUUUGCACCAAACGCGUUUGGUGUAGAUGCGUUUCCUGCACCGAACUAGUUUUCUGCACUAAACUAAUCUUUCAGAACGCUCAUCCAAAUCACCUUUUGUUUUUUAACCGGGUAUACCUGCAUUUUUUUGGAGGUAUAUGUAUGACAAAGUCAUGCAGCACGUGCUGCGAUGAGUCACUUCAUUUUGGGAUAAACAUGUUUUGUACACUAAACUAACUCAUUUACCCCAUUAUAAAAAGUGAGUGUACAUACCUCUUCUGGUGUACAUACUUCUUCUGAAGGUGAAUUGCAAUGGCAACCAUGGCGACAAUGCAGGGAGCCUUCGGUUCAUUGAAGGAGAUUGGUGACAUUGUGGCGAAUUUUGAUUUCAGCAAGGUAAAGUUGAACCUGUCUUGCCCAAAGCAGUGCUUAACUCCUUGUGGAAUGCUCCAGAUUGAUGUGCGUUCCAAGACUGCUGAGGAUUACCUCCACACCAACCUGGCACCAUCGUUUGGGGGAUUGAAUGCAGAAACAGUGAAGAAGAUGGAUGAGGUUCUCAAAGUUUGCAUCUCGGGAACCACAGACCUUAUAGCCAAAGUGGCACCGAAAGAGCGAACUUGGGAGAAGGUCAACUCCAUGUUCAUGCAAAAUCCCCUGGUUGAGCCAAUGGGCGAUGGGAUUAGCAGAGCUGACAAGUUUCUCAACAAAAGCUCUAGCGAUUUCA
rnacentral:lncRNA from 1 species